GACGAACGCUGGCGGCGUGCCUAAUACAUGCAAGUCGAACGCUUCUUUCCUCCCGAGUGCUUGCACUCAAUUGGAAAGAGGAGUGGCGGACGGGUGAGUAACACGUGGGUAACCUACCCAUCAGAGGGGGAUAACACUUGGAGACAGGUGCUAAUACCGCAUAACAGUUUAUGCUGCAUGGCAUAAGAGUGAAAGGCGCUUUCGGGUGUCGCUGAUGGAUGGACCCGCGGUGCAUUAGCUAGUUGGUGAGGUAACGGCUCACCAAGGCCACGAUGCAUAGCCGACCUGAGAGGGUGAUCGGCCACACUGGGACUGAGACACGGCCCAGACUCCUACGGGAGGCAGCAGUAGGGAAUCUUCGGCAAUGGACGAAAGUCUGACCGAGCAACGCCGCGUGAGUGAAGAAGGUUUUCGGAUCGUAAAACUCUGUUGUUAGAGAAGAACAAGGACGUUAGUAACUGAACGUCCCCUGACGGUAUCUAACCAAAAAGCCACGGCUAACUACGUGCCAGCCGCCGCGGUAA
rnacentral:rRNA from 1 species